UACGUAGGGGGCAAGCGUUGUCCGGACUUAUUGGGCGUAAAGAGCGUGUAGGCGGCCAGGUAGGUCAGCUGUGAAAACUCGAGGCUCAACCUCGAGACGUCGGUUGAAACCAUCUGGCUAGAGUCCGGAAGAGGAGAGUGGAAUUCCUGGUGUAGCGGUGAAAUGCGCAGAUAUCAGGAAGAACACCCGUGGCGAAGGCGGCUCUCUGGGACGGUACUGACGCUGAGACGCGAAAGCGUGGGGAGCGAACAGG
rnacentral:rRNA from 1 species